rnacentral:rRNA from 1 species
AACACAUGCAAGUCGAGCGGGGAAAGGUAGCNUGCUACUGGACCUAGCGGCGGACGGGUGAGUAAUACUUAGGAAUCUGCCUAUUAGUGGGGGACAACGUUCCGAAAGGGCUGCUAAUACCGCAUACGCCCUACGGGGGAAAGCAGGGGAUCACUUGUGACCUUGCGCUAAUAGAUGAGCCUAAGUCGGAUUAGCUAGUUGGUGGGGUAAAGGCCUACCAAGGCGACGAUCUGUAGCGGGUCUGAGAGGAUGAUCCGCCACACUGGGACUGAGACACGGCCCAGACUCCUACGGGAGGCAGCAGUGGGGAAUAUUGGACAAUGGGGGGAACCCUGAUCCAGCCAUGCCGCGUGUGUGAAGAAGGCCUUUUGGUUGUAAAGCACUUUAAGCGAGGAGGAGAGGCCCUAGGUUAAUACCCUAGGUGCUUGGACGUUGCUCGCAGAA